UAGCAUCCGCAAUCGAACUUCGGAUUGACUUGGCGUAAUAGACUAUUCGCUGAGGAAUUCUAGUCUUCGGAUUAGAGCCGGGUUGGGUUAAAGGAAGCUUCUAAUCAGAAUGUCUACAUUUUAAGAUUAGAUCUCAAAUCAGGUAGGACUACCCGCUGAACUUAAGCAUAUCAAUAAGCGGAGGAAAAGAAACUAACAAGGAUUCCCCUAGUAGCGGCGAGCGAAGCGGGAAGAGCUCAAAUUUAUAAUCUGGCACCUUCGGUGUCCGAGUUGUAAUCUCUAGAAAUGUUUUCCGCGUUGGACCGCACACAAGUCUGUUGGAAUACAGCGGCAUAGUGGUGAGACCCCCGUAUAUGGUGCGGACGCCCAGCGCUUUGUGAUACAUUUUCGAAGAGUCGAGUUGUUUGGGAAUGCAGCUCAAAUUGGGUGGUAAAUUCCAUCUAAAGCUAAAUAUUGGCGAGAGACCGAUAGCGAACAAGUACCGUGAGGGAAAGAUGAAAAGCACUUUGGAAAGAGAGUUAACAGUACGUGAAAUUGUUGGAAGGGAAACGCUUGAAGUCAGACUUGCUUGCCGAGCAAUCGGUUUGCAGGCCAGCAUCAGUUUUCCGGGAUGGAUAAUGGUAGAGAGAAGGUAGCAGUUUCGGCUGUGUUAUAGCUCUCUGCUGGAUACAUCUUGGGGGACUGAGGAACGCAGUGUGCCUUUGGCGGGGGUUUCGACCUCUCACACUAGGAUGCUGGG
rnacentral:rRNA from 1 species